rnacentral:rRNA from 1 species
GCGAGUGAAGCGGCAACAGCUCAAAUUUGAAAGCUGGCUCCGGCCCGCAUUGUAAUUUGCAGAGGAUGCUUUUGGCGAGGUGCCUUCCGAGUUCCCUGGAACGGGACGCCAUAGAGGGUGAGAGCCCCGUAUGGAUGGACACCAAACCUGUGUAAAGCUCCUUCAACGAGUCGAGUAGUUUGGGAAUGCUGCUCUAAAUGGGAGGUAAAUCUCUUCUAAAGCUAAAUACCGGCCAGAGACCGAUAGCGCACAAGUAGAGUGAUCGAAAGAUGAAAAGCACCUUGAAAAGGGGGUUAAACAGUACGUGAAAUUGUUGAAAGGGAAGCGCUUGUGACCAGACUUGCGCCGGGCAGCUCAUCAGGGGUUCUCCCCUGUGCACUCUGCCCGGCUCAGGCCAGCAUCGGUUCUCGUGGGAGGAUAAGAACAGUGGGAACGUGGCCCCCUCUCGGGGGGGUGUUAUAGCCCAUUGUACGAUACUCUCGUGGGGACCGAGGUUCGCGCUCCGCAAGGAUGC